rnacentral:lncRNA from 10 species
CAGAGCGGCACAUCCUGCCCUUGCAGGGCCCUGAGGCUCUAAAAGCAACAUGUUCCAAUUGGAAGCAUAUAUUCUGCAAGGGUUUGUCUCCAGGCAGCGCUACAGCCUCCUCUUCUGGCACCAUAGAGACUGUUGCUUCUGUCAGGAUUUCUGGCACCAGCAAAAGUGAAAGGGAACAGGACCAACUACGCUUCCCUGAGCAAGGUGGAUCUUCUGGGCAGCACCUUGAAUAUAUGUUACCAUCUCACAGAACACAGUUUCGAGAAUACUGGUAUAACAUAUCAUUCCUCAUCAUGUGUUAUCAGAGCAUUGCCACAGUAUUAAAGUAAGAAGAGAAGGCGAGCAAGCCUGUGGGCUACAGAGUGUGGAUCCAAGAAGGAGCAGAAAGGUGGCAUCCAAGGAAGAAGCCAGAAAGCUCCUAGAGGGCGACAAAAUCGCCACUCUGAGGACACCAAGACACAAGGCAGUGUCCCCCAUGUGAUGCAACAGGAUGGGAACUGAACAUGGCGGAAGUGAGCAGAAGAGUGCAAUGAUUUCAGGAUCAAUGAUUUCUGAAAAUGAACAUUUUUAAUAAAGCAGCUCUGGACUGUGAUUCCUAACUAUUGGGGCAUUGGCAUUAAAGAAAAGAGAUUGGACAUUUUGAACCUUGUGUGUGUCAAAAUGAAACUUUUUGUCCCUGGAUAUGUUGAGACGGGAAGAAGGAAAAUCUGAUUCUAUGGUUUACUACACUCCAGGAAUUAUCAUCCCUCUAACACCACACAUGAUGGAAAGAGUUUUUUCUUAGGUAAUUUCAGAAGGAAUUUGGUUUUCAAUGUAAUGAAACAUGUACAUGUUCUCCAAUGCUGACAUAGAAAAGAAAGACAAAGAAUGGCUUAAUCACUGACUGUCAAAUAAAUGAAGGCCUAUCAACUGGAGAGAAACUGUUAGAUAAAAGAGAGAGAGAACUAAAACAAAAGAUCUACCCUAGAAGGAAGCACCAUUUUGAUUCUAAAGAUUGUGGGAGUCUCUUGGGCCAUAGAUUCCUAGAGUUGGAAGAGACCUCAAGAUGUGGAGAUGCUGAAAUCUUGUCCAUAGCACCCCUGACAGAUGGUCUCCCAGCCUCUGCUGUCAUAUUUCUUAUAAUGAGAUCACCAUCACACAAGAAGACUCACUUCAUUGUUGAAAGUUCUGGUUAUUUAAAAUUUUUUCCUUUUAUUGAGCCAAAGUGGCUUUAUUGUAACUUCUCUCCUGUUAGUCUGGUUGAG